CAUACACACAUAUAUAUACAUAUUCAGGUUCUGCUAAUUACUGGUUAUAUGAUCUUUGGCAGUGUACUUAAUCUCUGAAUCUUAGUUUCCUGGCCUAUAAAAUAGAGAUAAUAACAAUUACUUUAUGGGGUCGUAGUGAAGUUCAAAGGGAAGAAUGGAUAUAGAAGUAACUUGUUCAUUUUAAAGACCUACAUGAAUGAAAUUAGUGUUUGUAUGUACCACCUACUAUGGGUUCAAGAUUAAUCUCUGAAUUUGGAAAGAAUGUACAAGGAAUACAAAGUAUGGUCUCUUCCCAUAACAAACUUGAUCCCCCUUGGAAUCAGGAAAUAAUUAGAAAAUGAGAUGAGGCUAUAUAAAACUAGGUUGUGUUGUCCAGGCUACAUGUGCAGUAACAAUUCUAAGAAAGGAGAGCUUUAAAUGGGCUGGAAAUUAUGACCAUUUUCUUUCCGAAUGGAACAGGCUAAGCUUUGCCUGAACAAAGAAGCAAAGAUAUCUAACAGCUGCUUACCACUUUUUGUUGCUUAAAAUAUCAGAGGAGUAUGAGGUUUAGGCAGCUCUGAGGGCUGAGUCAUCUUCCUCCUAACUUGGUAUUUAUUCAGGAUGAGGCUCUAACACUGAUGACAACAGCAUUCCUGACUUCUGAGCUGCUCAAAAUGCUAAGAUGGCUCUGAAGGUGAUACAGACGCCUCAUCCAGAUUCCCCUGUGGUUAACACUCCCAGUUAUGCUUCUGCUACCUCCUUGUUUUGUCACAAUGUUUGUUUUGAAUGAGAGGUCUUGACAGCUGAAGAAGAACUGAGGCCAAAUGAGACAUAGCCUAGAUUUGCUUCUCAUGAUGAUGCUCAAGGCUCACAGCUGAGGCAAUAAGAGAAAGAGUUGGACCACGAGCCUAUAAUAUGUACCUUUGUAGCCUGUAUAACAUCAAGUUCAAUCAGUUCAAUGCACUUGUUCAAGUUCUAUGAGGACCUGUUUUGAACAAAGUUCUAUAAGUGUUGGAUAUAUAAAAUUUAGUAGAUAAAAGAUAAACAUAUAUUUAUUAUGACAAUCUCACCUAUAUUUUGUGUUCUCAGCUAAUCCAGCAGUAUUUAUAAACAGAGGCUAUCACGAUUCCUCUAGGUGAGGAGGCUAAGGCCCAGAUAGGUUCGGUAAUUUGCUUAAGGGCAUACAAUUUAUGACCUGAAGAGAGAAAAUUCAAACCCAGAAAAUCCUGGUUCUAAAGCCUAUGCUCUUUACAUUUAAAUCAUCAGAGGGAAAAACAUAAAUAAAUAUAUAAAAAUACUUUUUUUAAAAGAAGGAGAAGGGCUCAGGGAGUAGAAUUUUUCCACAGUUCUAGAUGAUGGGAUAUUUUCAAUGAGGGAAAUUGUGGAGGAGUAGGCUAAAAUAAGGUUGAGGCUCUACGAUGGAGGACUUUGUUAGGGUCAUUACUCUGCACUCAAUUAUGUCAUUAAUGGGCAGUACCAGCAGAUGACCAAAUAUGGUGGUGUUAGUACUAUUCCUAGGUAUAAGCAAUAAAAGGGUACGCUGAAUUUAAGUCAUUCUGAUUGGAAUUAUCAUCUCAUGCCUAUAACUCUAAAUAGUGAAGUGAUAAAUACUCCUUGUAAAAAUAAAAACUUUUGUAAACCUUACUUUUGCUGCCAUUAAUGUUGCACUUUAAUAAUAUGUAAGGUUUGAUCACAUUUUUAUUGAUUUAUCAUUUACUAAGCACUGCAUUCUACAUACAAGUUAAUUCAGCCAAUUCCCAGUUCUAUACUUGACUACAUGCAUCCAAGAAUAAACUGGGAAUCCUUGAGUUUGCCUUGAGCAGACAUAGCUGCGGUUUGAAUUCAAAGAAUCAAAACGUGAGUUAUUUCACUUCUGUCAUCCUAUUGGAUCACUGGAGUUUUCUAACUUUGUUUCAGUGCAAAUGCAUUUAUAAUAUUUUAAUUUGGAAAGUGCAACUUUUAGUUAAUAGCUAUAAAAUAUUUUACAAACUUGGACAAUGUUUAAAAUCACAAUCAUUUAUUUUAUUGUUUUUUUAAAAAAAAAGAUUUAAAAAUUAUAUUACCAAAUGCUACAUGAAAAUAAUUUCAUCACAAGAUGAAGGGUGGACAUAGCGUUAUAAAAAUGAUGCAGUUAAGGUGUCAAAUAUGCUAGGAAUGCCACUGGGAAUCACUAAAUGUUUUUGAUGGGAGGAGCCAAAAGAGAAUGUCAAGGUGAAUCGAACAUCAUCAUUAUAUCUCUAUGUAGUUGUAUAUGUGUCUAGUUACCAAUAUGUUGUAAUUAGAGAAAGAAAAAAGCAAGGUAUAUUUUACCAAAACAAUAAAAAAUAUUACAUUUUAGAGAGUAUUCUGGCACGGGUUCUUGCAGGCUACUUUAUUUUCAUGGCAGCCUGUCAAUCCUAUCCCAGCUAAUCUCUCUGUGGAAAGCACAAUUCUCUUUUUUAACCACUAGCAGAGGACACUGCAUAUCAAGUAGUCAAUAGGAAAUAAUGCAAUUUGAAGGGUUUUGUCACCCAAUAUCUUGAGACAUGUCAGCUGAGUUUUUUGUUGAGGAAGCAGAGUUGUCACAACUUGUAUUGUUGUUCAUAAUACCCCAUGCACCUCCCUAUGGGAGGAGUGUACAUCCUUGUUCUACGGGAGACUGGCUUGGCUCCAUGGCUGACUUGCUGCCCAGUGAAAUGUCAGAAGAUUUGAAGAGUGUUCUAGGCCAAAGUUUUGAGUCAGUCAUGUUCUUCCCUCCAGUUUUUGUAAUUAUGAAAGCAUGUCAUUAAUGAGCAGAAACCCUUUUUCAGCCUAUGAUGAAUACAUAACAUGGACAAGCAAUAAACACUGAAGUUUUAAGCCACUGAGAUUUUCUGGUUAUUUGUCAUCACAGUACCAACUAACCCAACUUAAUUGAUAAAGCUGUCUGUCCAUUUAGGCAGAUACUCUCAAAUCCGUUUCCAAAUUUAGCCAGAUCAGGGGAAAUUUUAUUCAUGGAACUCAUUGUAGAGAUAUUAGUAGAAUUCCUUUUACUGAACAACAUGAUGUGAAGAUCAUUUGUAUUAAGAAUUACUAUAGACACACCUCAUGAGACUCACCCUGGUCCACACUUAAAUGGAUGUGGUCAAAAAUUAGGGGCAUUCUGCCAACACACGGAACUCUGUGAACAUCUUCAAAAGAAGUGUCUGCCUAGGCUUUGUGUUAAGAAUCAUUAUAGAUCUCCUACGUAAAAUGAAGUAUUUUAUCUCUCAAAUACUGUGUAUUGCAUACCUGAUCAAGUUAUUCUUUUUCAGGUUGGCUGACAGACAGCUUAGAGCUAACUUUUUGGCAAGUAUGCAAGUCCACUUUUUUUUUCUUACUUUUGACUCUAUUUUACAUAUGUAAUCUUGUGUUACUUUCUGUUUUCACAACAAUUUUUUAAUUGGUGUAUUUAAUUUUCUUAACCACUUUAAGCCCUUUAAAUAAAAAGGGGGGAUUUAUAUAAAUAAAUAAUAAGUAAAUAAAUAAACAAAAGUAUAAAAGAGCUUUAUCAUUAACAUGUUACUGAUUCUUUCUAAACAUGUAAAUGGCAUGAAUCUAUGUUGUAUCACCAAAAUUGCUCCUAAUAAAUAUUAAAAUUAUAGUCCCACUGAAUCAAUAAUUAACUUCUUAGAAUAGAUACCCUUGAACAAAAUGCUAAAUACUUUAUAGCCAAGUAAAAUUGAAACGGUUCUUCCUUGAGGAGAAAAGUUCUAUUGUUUGCAUUUGCUUUAGCGUUUUUUUUGUUUGUUUUUUUUCUUUCCAGGAAGCCUUUGGGGUUCAAGGUGGACAAUGUAGUUCUUUUAAUGAAUGAAUGAAGGAGUCUAAUACUUUUGCUUAAUUUUGAUCCUCUUCGUACUGAGUAAAACACUGGGUGCUAUUAAAUCACAUAAAAAGGCAUACUCCUGGACUUCUGGAAGUCUUCAUAGCCUGGCUGAGUUUAAUUCAAUGGGUAAAGCAACAAACACAAGCAACUCAGAAGAGGAAAAGCUACCCUGGGCCAGCUAAGAAACCAGAGGCUGGAGGAACUCAGAACAAAAGGAUGGCAAUAGAAGAAUAAAAUUAAUUGGAAGAGGAUUUCUAGAGGAAGAAAAAGUUGGGCCAGGUCUAUUCAUCACUUUUCCUUCAAAGCUUCCCUUAUCACACUUUCCUCCCUCUCCUCCAUGAGACAUUAAAAAACUAAACAAAACAAAAACAACAACAACAAAAACUAGCAAUUAAAAUGUCUGGCCCACGGAGACUGCCAGCUUAGCCUCAGACGCUACAGAAGAAGCAAUCAAAAAUGGGGCCUCGGGACCCCUAAGGCCUCAUUCUGGUUUAGGUACGGAUCUGGCAUUUGUUGAUAGACCCUUUCCCAGCACCAAGUAUGUUGGGGUCACUGGGAAAGAGAAAACUUAUGAAUAAAUUUGAAAGGGGGUCUGAAAAUUUAGAUGAAUACCAAAGGAGUCCUUUGUGAAAAAAUUAAGCAGUCAUUGCCAUAAAGGACAAACGUUUUAAGUGGCUCUGCUCCACAGCAACCUCCCAAGGCUUCCUCCAGGAGGCAGAGGCCUGGGUCUGUGUUAAAUGGCUUAAUUUUCUUAAUCAACUAUUUCAUUGUGAGUUUUUAAUUUCAUUCCCAUGCCUAUUUUUUUUUUUUUCAUUUUGCCAUAAUACAGCUUUAAGUACCGUGGCAAACAUUUGACAGUUAGCUCAGCAGGUGCUGGGCUCUGCAGAGCUUACAUAGCUCUACCUUUUAUUAAUUGGGUUUCAAAAUGUGUUCUUGUAUGAACAGAAGCUAAGAUGGGACUAUUGUACCUGUCAACAUGAAGCUGGGCGAAAUAAAAUAUUUGGAAUGCGCUUUAAAAUAACUCAUUGUGAGCUUGAUCAGUUCAGAAUUUAAAAGUAGAAAUAUUCUUUAAUGCUGAAAUAAAUAAUCAUGCAAUCAGAACAGCAAUAAAAUUAAAGAAACGAUGGGGUUUGUUCAAGGUUCUUCAGUAUUUGCUAACAAUGAGAACAUUUUCUUUGUGCCCAAUAGGUUAUACAUUGACAAGAUGUGGAAAAGGCAUUUUAAUGAAAACUCUAGAGGCCCAGAGAGAGAGAGUAAGUACUCUGAAAACCUACACGGAAGGCUCUCUAAAUACCUGUGAUGUUUCCAAUUUAAUUUCCAUCUCAAUUUGGAGGUUUUUUUCCUUAUCAGGAACUCUCAGUCUGAAAUUUCAAAUUCCUGUGGAAAAGAAGCUCUGCCAGCAUUUGCCCCUCUGAGGAAUGCGUCCCUCUCUUGGUGAAGCAGAAGAAUCUCUGUGACCCUUUUCCUCCUUGUUCAUGGAGGUGUUUCAAUUUCAAUGAACUUUAGUGACAUUCAUUCUCAAACUCCACUUAGGGCGGAAGAUAAAAGGGAGGUGAAGUGAGAGCAGUAAAAGUUGACCUCAGAGGUGUGUCAAGCCCUUUCUUGUCAUUAUCACUGUCAUUGCCAUCAUUUGCUUUGCUCAACUCUGAAAUAGUGAGCGCUAUCCAAGUCCUCCCAAAGGACUAUCUAAGCAGCUCCCCUCAAAAGGGGUGUGUUCUGAAAAUAAGCAUGGGGAAAAUGAAGAUGAACCCACCAUGAUCAUAAGAUAAAAACCUGAAGAAUUAAAAAAUUAUGUAUGCACUUUUGUUUCUGAUUAAAGUAAUACAUUAUCAUUGUAAAAAAUCUUGAAGAUUUGUGGCAAUGAA
rnacentral:lncRNA from 1 species